CACACGAUAGUCCAUCUCGAUAUCAAGUAUUUACAUUUUUUCAAUAUUAGGGGCAGUUGAAAAAGUGGAUAAAAUUGUUGCACAGCAGGAAAAAGCAAAUGGAAGGACCACAGGAGGACAUCCUGUGCACCGAGGUGUUGCUCGUCACGGCGAACGUGGGAAGUCUCUUCGAGGAUCCAGAGCGGCUGCUCCAGCUAUGGCUUCACGAAUUCCUCGACAAGGUGACGCACGUUCAGGCCAAGUUCCUGGCACUGCACCUGCAGGAAGUGGGCGGCAAGACCUACGAGAAAUCCAUGGAAUACGUGCAGGAGUUCAUCAAAUCCCUCUGCGAUGCACCUGUCAUGGCAGACUACACUUGCGUGCAAAUAUUCAUGGAUGAGGACUUCAAGUCGGCCGAAUAUUUUACGGCUCUUGGAAAUCUUUAUUUUGUCCACCAAGACGUUGCGUCGUUGAAACUGUGGAAUUUCCUGACCCACAGUUGGGAGGAGGACCUUCAAGUGAUUAAAGGUAAACAUAUCUAUUCAGGAAACAUAGAAACCAUUGCCACCAAGGAGAAAUCCAAAUUUCCGCAACAUUUUUUCCCCGAGUGCAAGUGGUCGCGAAAAGGUUUUAUGCGAACACGCUGGGAAAUAAAUGGAACUGUUAUCGAUCUAGUCAAUAUUCACCUAUUCCACGAUGCAUCCAACCUGGCUGCGUGCGAAAACUUCCCCUCCGUUUAUUGUAAAACCAGAAGAAGAGCUUUAGUUCAUACGAUUGAAAGGUUCCAUUUGGACAAAGUGAAUGGCACUGUUCCCUUUUUCCUCUUUGGUGAUUUUAAUUUUAGAUGCGACACCGAGGGCGUUGUAAAAGAACUCACUCAAAACUUGACCGCCCAUCGAGUGCAGAAUAUUAAGAAUGAGAACGAUAAAAUCAACUAUCGAAACUCAACAGGGGACAACGUACUUACUGUGGGAAAAAAAGAAUUUAGUCAUGCCGAUCAUCAAUUAAAGUUUAAAGAAGACUGGCUUAAAAAAUAUGAUAGGGAACUGGAACCACUCAAGGACGUGCUAGUCGAAUACCCCAUUCAGUUUGUGCCAUCAUAUCCUUUUGAAGAAGAUCCCGAAAUGCCGACGGAUUAUAUGUCCACUCGAUGUCCGGCGUGGUGUGAUCGAAUUUUAAUGAGUCCCCAGGUCCAGGAGAUCGUCAAGAAUGAUGAAUCGACGUACGGCAUGAUUGGGGAAGCGGUAUGCAUGGGCGACCACAAGCCUGUUUACUUAACUGUCCGUCUUAAACCAAACAAAGGUACUUAUAGAUCUUGUGAUUGCAACACGCAUACUUACGCAACCUCCAACGAUAUCUCAACAUCACCUCUGCCCGCAGUCAAGCUGAAGUUCUGUCCGUACUCGAAUAAGCUCUUCAAAGAAAUAGCCACCAGUACGACGGAGUCUCGAAACAUGUACAACUCCCUCAAAAUUAGUCAAGACGAGGAGCCGGACAAGACGAGCUCCCCCAACUUUCCGAAUAUUAGUAUUAACAUUAUUGACUCAGAUAAUAUCUGUAUGUGCUUGUGCGCACAUCUAUCUACCAAUAACCUCCAGUUCGAUGAUAGUGGCCGAGCUGACGAAACCAUUUGCCCCAUGUGUCGGAAUAUAAUCAAAAAGCAGCCAGUCGCCCACCGAUAUAAGCUCGUGUCGAAGCGACUCAUGUUGACCCAAGAGAUUAUAAUCAACCGUAUCGACACGCAGCACCUUAGUACUGACUCUGAGCGACUGUUCGAGGACCCGUACACUCCCGAGAGCACCGAGUCGCACUCCCCAUAUCCGGAAGUUACUAGCUCGUCCUCGAGCAGUUCUCGCAGUCCACUUGACCGUAGAUUCAUGCCGGAGAAAGUUGUAGAGAGUAAAGCGGGUGAAAUAGACGCUUCGCCUCUGCCAGAGUCGAGCAAUAGCCCGGAGAAGCCAUCCCGAGGCACGGUUACUCCCGGCCAACUUAAGUCUAGGCUAGAGACCCUGAAGCGCUUGUCCCUUAAAGGCGAAGGAGACGUGGAAUCGAGCGCGGAUGCGGGAGCGGGUGAUGUUGACAAAGUUGAUGCUGCUCCACCGCGCCAAAGACGCAGCUCUAGUGUUAUUCCUAUGUGUUGUACUAUCCACUAAUUCCAGUUGUUGUUUGUUAUUUUGAUUUAUAUUUUGUUCUUAAGUAAAAUAUUUUAAAAUCGGCGACUAGAAUACUGCUUUUUAAAGCGCCAUACACUUUAUAAAUUCGCAUAGACGACGGAAUGAAAUAUUUCUUUCCAUCUGCAUGCUCAUCAUACCAAAAACUUGCUGAAAGGCACUUACUGUAUCAUUUUAGAAGAAGAACCAUUUCGCAUUGCUAUUUAUAAAAGUAUUUUAAGCCAACUGUUUUUUUUUAAACUAAAUCUCAUCAACAUUGUCAAGGAGUUUCUAAAGUGCUUUUAUUUUAGAAAGCAAACAUACUUUUAAGUUCCAGAGCUGUGUUUUGGUUUCACUUUGUGUAAAUAUAUUUAUUUUAAACUAUCGGAAUCGAAUGUAAAUAGGUAGAGUAAUGUCUAGCUUCCAUCUAAAUAUUUGGUUCCUUCUCGCAUUAGCAGCAGUUCGGUUUAAGCCUGUAUUAAAAUAUUUCUUCGAAUCUGUGUUUUAAUUAUGUAUGUAUGUAUAUUGUUUAUUAUGUGUUCCGUCUAUCUUAAGAAAAUAAACUACGUUUUUUUACCUCACACAUCUUUUCUUUUCAUUUGUACUUUAUUCUAUUUUUUAAUAUUUUCAGUUUCGAUUUUCAAAUAAUUUACAAGCUGUUAACUGAUCAAAAGAAAUCUUUGUAAACGGCCUGCCCUUUGAACCGGUCCAGCGGAUCCUAAAUCUUUCUCAAAAAUACCGGAGGGCUUGGCGCAGC